rnacentral:rRNA from 1 species
UACGUAGGGUGCGAGCGUUGUCCGGAAUUAUUGGGCGUAAAGGGCUCGUAGGCGGUUUGUCGCGUCGGGAGUGAAAACACCGGGCUUAACUCGGUGCUGGCUUUCGAUACGAGCAGACUAGAGGUAUGCAGGGGAGAACGGAAUUCCUGGUGUAGCGGUGAAAUGCGCAGAUAUCAGGAGGAACACCGGUGGCGAAGGCGGUUCUCUGGGACGGUACUGACGCUGAGACGCGAAAGCGUGGGGAGCGAACGGG